rnacentral:rRNA from 1 species
GAUGAACGCUAGCUACAGGCUUAACACAUGCAAGUCGAGGGACCGGCACACGGGUGAGUAACACGUAUACAACCUGCCCUUUACUCGGGGAUAGCCUUUCGAAAGAAAGAUUAAUACCCGAUAUAAAGGAUGGGGAUGCGUUCGAUUAGGUUGUUGGUGAGGUAACGGCUCACCAAGCGUUCCAUGGAUGGGGGUUGUGAGAGGCAGGCACCCUACAUCGGAACUGCGACACGGUCCAAAACCCGACGGGACGCAGCAGUGUGGAAUAUUGGGGAAUGGGCGCUAGCCUGACCCUGCCAAGUAUCUGGAAGGAGGAAGGCUUAUGGGUCGUCAAUCUCCUUUAUAUAAGAAUAGGUAUUAGAUGAAUAAGGACCGGCUAACUCCGUGCCAGCAGCCGCGGUAAUUC